UUAGCCAAGAAUGGCUUGCCUAUCUCCACUAUUUGGUUCAUCACUACUGGAACACACUUGGGGUUCAGAUGGUGGAUGAAAUGUGGAAGAUGGUGAGCCUUCCUGGCUAAGA
rnacentral:pre_miRNA from 1 species